rnacentral:rRNA from 1 species
CAGGCCUAACACAUGCAAGUCGAGCGGAUGAAGAGAGCUUGCUCUCUGAUUCAGCGGCGGACGGGUGAGUAAUGCCUAGGAAUCUGCCUGGUAGUGGGGGACAACGUCUCGAAAGGGACGCUAAUACCGCAUACGUCCUACGGGAGAAAGCAGGGGACUUCGGGCCUUGCGCUAUCAGAUGAGCCUAGGUCGGAUUAGCUAGUUGGUGAGGUAAUGGCUCACCAAGGCGACGAUCCGUAACUGGUCUGAGAGGAUGAUCAGUCACACUGGAACUGAGACACGGUCCAGACUCCUACGGGAGGCAGCAGUGGGGAAUUUUGGACAAUGGGCGCAAGCCUGAUCCAGCCAUGCCGCGUGCAGGAUGAAGGCCUUCGGGUUGUAAACUGCUUUUGUACGGAACGAAACGGUCUGCCCUAAUACGGUGGGCUAAUGACGGUACCGUAAGAAUAAGCACCGGCUAACUACGUGCCAGCAGCCGCGGUAAU